rnacentral:rRNA from 1 species
UUGAUGUGUAGGAUAGGUGGGAGGCUUUGAAGUGUGGACGCCAGUCUGCAUGGAGCCGACCUUGAAAUACCACCCUUUAAUGUUUGAUGUUCUAACGUUGACCCGUAAUCCGGGUUGCGGACAGUGUCUGGUGGGUAGUUUGACUGGGGCGGUCUCCUCCUAAAGAGUAACGGAGGAGCACGAAGGUUGGCUAAUCCUGGUCGGA